GCACAAGCGGUGGAGUAUGUGGUUUAAUUCGAUGCAACGCGAAGAACCUUACCUGGUCUUGACAUCCCGGAGACCCUUAGGAAACUAGGGGGUGCUUCCAUCUGGAAGAAUCUGGAGACAGGUGCUGCAUGGCUGUCGUCAGCUCGUGUCGUGAGAUGUUGGGUUAAGUCCCGCAACGAGCGCAACCCUUGCCUUUAGUUGCCAGCAGUUCGGCUGGGCACUCUAAAGGGACUGCCGGUGUUAAACCGGAGGAAGGUGGGGAUGACGUCAAGUCCUCAUGGCCUUUAUGACCAGGGCUACACACGUACUACAAUGGCCGAUACAAAGGGCAGCGACACUGCGAGGUGAAGCCAAUCCCGUAAAAUCGGUCUCAGUCCGGAUUGGAGUCUGCAACUCGACUCCAUGAAGUUGGAAUCGCUAGUAAUCGUGGAUCACGCAUGACCACGGUAGAAUACGUUCCCGGGCCUU
rnacentral:rRNA from 1 species